GUGGUUAUCCCUGUCCCGUUCG
rnacentral:miRNA from 1 species